UCUCUCAACCUAGUUCAGGCUCGCGUCCACCAGAAUAUCCUCUAAUGGUACCACUGCCGACUCGUCGGCCAUACACUUUCUCAGCUGCGACACGUGGAAGGUGUCAUGUAUCUGACCCAACUCUGCAUGUAGCUCCAAACGGUAGGCUAUCCUGCCUACUCUUGCAAUCACCCUGAAAGGUCCAAUAUAUCGGGUCCCCAGCUUGCCUCUCUUCCUGAAUCGGAUCUCUCCUUUCCAAGGAGAGACAUUCAGGAGCACGAAAUCGCCAACCUGAAAUUCGAGCUCAGACCAGCGCCUGUCCGCAUAACUCUUCUGGCGACUCUGAGCUGUAGCUCCAAACGGUAGGCUAUCCUGCCUACUCUUGCAAUCACCCUGAAAGGUCCAAUAUAUCGGGUCCCCAGCUUGCCUCUCUUCCUGAAUCGGAUCUCUCCUUUCCAAGGAGAGACAUUCAGGAGCACGAAAUCGCCAACCUGAAAUUCG
rnacentral:lncRNA from 1 species